GAGAUGGGUAUAAACGGAGGUCGGAGCCAGCUGCAAAUGGGAGGGUUAGCAGCAAGUGGGUGGAGCUUUACCCGCAAGUGGGCUGUACAAACUUCCAGAGGAUUUUGAUUGGUUUAUUUAUAUCACCUGUAGCAGCUAUUGGUUUAUGCUCCACAGUUGGUGGCGCUAAUGUGUAAGUUUUGUUGCGAUCGAUCAGAAAACAAAGAAGAAACCCGCUUUCACAUGUUAGCGUGUUGUUGAAAUGAAGGUGUAAGCUUGCUUUACAGUUUUUAGUUUUGUAAAAAAGCAUUAUAAGUUCUGAAGAAGACCAUUUUAUAAUGGCGUUUGUACGCUGUUUUUAGUCUUGAUGUAUUAAAAAAGAUAAGGGUAAAGUGUAUCCAGAUACAUUUCUGUAGUUUUUUAUUAGCACACAAAUUACAAAAUCUGUAACGUGGAUGACAAAAUCUUUUCUGCAUUCCAUUUCUACAAUUUGCUCUCCAGAUUAUGGAUUCUGAAGACCAUAAUAAUAAGGACAAUGCAGGACAAAGGCUGUCAAAUAACUGGAGUGUUUGUCUUGAUGGCAAUAUGCACUGUAUGUUAUUCUGGGACAGAAGUUUGACUUCACUGAACUAAACAUGAAGAACAUAGAAAACGGUGGUGUGCCAUCUUGCUUGAAAAUUAAGUAAGUGUGAAAAAAUUAGCUGUACUUUUAACGUGGUGUUUUAAGAAACUCUUAAAGAAGUGAAAAAAAUCUUGUUCAGUCUGUAAACUGUUUUGGGAAGACAUGGAACGGAAUGAUUUAGUGACUCGCUCAUAACACUAUUUCAGUAAAAAUAUAUUCUGCAGACACUUUGAGUGAAAAGAGUGUUUCAGUGAUGAUAAAAAUCAGCAGGUGUAAACACUACUU